rnacentral:lncRNA from 1 species
AGUAGUUCACUGGGGUGCCUGGAGAGUAGUUCACUGGGGUGCCUGGAUAUGGGGCAGCUUCUGGAGAGUAAGGAUAAGGCGGGCUCCUGUUACCGUAGAUGGCAGGUGGUGCAGCAUAUGCUGGAACUGCAGCAGGGUAUUGGGUGUGUGAGGGAGACCUAACAAAUGCCGGGGCUACUGGGAAAGAUGAGACAUAGGCAUUUGUUGAACGGCCUGCCUUAGCAGGAGGCAUAGGACCAACAUUACUGGCUCUCGUUCUUUUAUUUGCUGGUACAGCAGCUGGCCUCUUUUUCUCAUUCUUCGGCUUCUCCGACUGCUCAAGCUGCUU